UACCAGCACCCCCGAGUGGUCGGGACGUUUUAUUGGGCCUAAAGCAUCCGUAGCCGGUUCUACAAGUCUUCCGUUAAAUCCAGCUGCUUAACAGAUGGGCUGCGGAAGAUACUAUGGAGCUAGGAGGCGGGAGAGGCAAGCGGUACUCGAUGGGUAGGGGUAAAAUCCGUUGAUCCAUUGAAGACCACCAGUGGCGAAGGCGGCUUGCCAGAACGCGCUCGACGGUGAGGGAUGAAAGCUGGGGGAGCAAACAGG
rnacentral:rRNA from 1 species